AUGGGUUCGUCUCUUUGUUCUUUUUUUCCUGAUCUUUUUCUCGUUUCUACUACUGGUUUCUCUCUAAUUUCUUUCCUCUUCUAUCUCUCAGUUUUUCUCCUCAAUGUUUUUGUUGAUGAUGAUAGAGUUUUAGGAGGUUUUGCAGGUUUCUUGUUGCAAGUCUUUGGACUAUUUAUGAUACACUGCAACAAUAUGGUUAAAGUGGACAACAAAGAGGCUUUGGAGUAUAGUAUUUGA